CUAUACAUGCAAGUAGAACGCUGAAGAGAGGAGCUUGCUCUUCUUGGAUGAGUUGCGAACGGGUGAGUAACGCGUAGGUAACCUGCCUUGUAGCGGGGGAUAACUAUUGGAAACGAUAGCUAAUACCGCAUAACAAUGGAUGACACAUGUCAUUUAUUUGAAAGGGGCAAUUGCUCCACUACAAGAUGGACCUGCGUUGUAUUAGCUAGUAGGUGAGGUAAUGGCUCACCUAGGCGACGAUACAUAGCCGACCUGAGAGGGUGAUCGGCCACACUGGGACUGAGACACGGCCCAGACUCCUACGGGAGGCAGCAGUAGGGAAUCUUCGGCAAUGGGGGCAACCCUGACCGAGCAACGCCGCGUGAGUGAAGAAGGUUUUCGGAUCGUAAAGCUCUGUUGUAAGUCAAGAACGGGUGUGAGAGUGGAAAGUUCACACUGUGACGGUAGCUUACCAGAAAGGGACGGCUAACUACGUGCCAGCAGCCGCGGUAAUACGUAGGUCCCGAGCGUUGUCCGGAUUUAUUGGGCGUAAAGCGAGCGCAGGCGGUUUGAUAAGUCUGAAGUUAAAGGCUGUGGCUCAACCAUAGUUCGCUUUGGAAACUGUCAAACUUGAGUGCAGAAGGGGAGAGUGGAAUUCCAUGUGUAGCGGUGAAAUGCGUAGAUAUAUGGAGGAACACCGGUGGCGAAAGCGGCUCUCUGGUCUGUAACUGACGCUGAGGCUCGAAAGCGUGGGGAGCGAACAGGAUUAGAUACCCUGGUAGUCCACGCCGUAAACGAUGAGUGCUAGGUGUUGGGAUCCUUUCCGGGAUUCAGUGCCGCAGCUAACGCAUUAAGCACUCCGCCUGGGGAGUACGACCGCAAGGUUGAAACUCAAAGGAAUUGACGGGGGCCCGCACAAGCGGUGGAGCAUGUGGUUUAAUUCGAAGCAACGCGAAGAACCUUACCAGGUCUUGACAUCCCGAUGCUAUUUCUAGAGAUAGAAAGUUACUUCGGUACAUCGGUGACAGGUGGUGCAUGGUUGUCGUCAGCUCGUGUCGUGAGAUGUUGGGUUAAGUCCCGCAACGAGCGCAACCCCUAUUGUUAGUUGCCAUCAUUCAGUUGGGCACUCUAGCGAGACUGCCGGUAAUAAACCGGAGGAAGGUGGGGAUGACGUCAAAUCAUCAUGCCCCUUAUGACCUGGGCUACACACGUGCUACAAUGGUUGGUACAACGAGUUGCGAGUCGGUGACGGCGAGCUAAUCUCUUAAAGCCAAUCUCAGUUCGGAUUGUAGGCUGCAACUCGCCUACAUGAAGUCGGAAUCGCUAGUAAUCGCGGAUCAGCACGCCGCGGUGAAUACGUUCCCGGGCCUUGUACACACCGCCCGUCACACCACGAGAGUUUGUAACACCCGAAGUCGGUGAGGUAACCUUUUGGAGCCAGCCGCCUA
rnacentral:rRNA from 1 species